rnacentral:sRNA from 1 species
CUCAAGCUCUUCUCCUACCGCGACGUCAACUCGUGGUGCCGCAGGGCCAGGGCCAAGGCUGCCUCUGCAGGGAAGAAGGCCAGCAGUGCUGCUGCCCCGCACACCGUGAGCUACCCGGACAAUCUGACCUACCGCGGUGAGGACCUCUGUGGGCCUGAGGUGCGGGGGACAGGCUAGGCCUGUUCUGGCACCAACCCCCCAUUCCCAUUCCAGAUCUCUACUACUUCCUCUUCGCCCCCACCUUGUGCUACGAGCUCAACUUUCCCCGCUCUCCCCGCAUCCGGAAGCGCUUUCUGCUGCGACGGAUCCUUGAGAUGCUGUUCUUCACCCAGCUCCAGGUGGGGCUGAUCCAGCAGGUAAGUGGGGUAGGGCAGGGUUGGGUGCAGCUGGGCAUGGCUGGGAGCUGACGUGGUGCCCUCCUUUGCAGUGGAUGGUCCCCACCAUCCAGAACUCCAUGAAGCCCUUCAAGGACAUGGACUACUCACGCAUCAUCGAGCGCCUCCUGAAGCUGGCGACACUUCUACAAGCCCAUGCUUCGACGGGGCAGCA